UUGGAUCCAUCUCAUGCUUCCUCUGGUAUGGAUUCCCCGCAUCAAAAGCCUCUAAUAAUUCACCUUGUCUCAUCCACCGACUCACCCGAGUUCACUCUCCUGAAUCGGGCUCUAACUCGAACCUCAGUCAUCGGACUCGACGCUGAGUGGAAACCCAUUCGGAACCCUCACAAAUCAACUUUCCCCACUGUCUCUCUCCUCCAACUCGCUUGCCAACUCAGGCCCCAACUCGGCUCCGACUCCGACGAGUCUCUGGUUUUCCUGCUCGACCUGUCCUUAAUUCCGUUAUCUUCAAUAUGGGAACUGCUGAGGGAGAUUUUUGUUUCUCCAGAUAUACUGAAGUUAGGGUUUAGAUUUAAACAGGAUUUGGUUUUUUUGUCUUCAACUUUCUGCUCGCAAGGCUGUGAUCCUGGGUUUGAUAAGGUGGAACCCUAUUUGGAUAUAACCAGCAUAAACCAUUUUCUGCAACACAAGCACCGGGGAAGGAAGACACCAAAAGAUACCAAGAGUUUGGCAUCUAUCUGCAAUGAUUUAUUGGGGAUUUCUCUUUCAAAGGAACUUCAAUGUAGUGAUUGGUCAUGUCGUCCUCUUACAGAAGAGCAAAAAACAUAUGCAGCAAUUGAUGCGCACUGCUUGCUUGAAAUAUUCAACGUCUUCAAGGCCAAUCUUGUCAAAGAAGGGAAAACUUAUGGCACCAUAAUGGAAUUGCAUUCUUCCAAUAUUAAUCUUGGGUUGAAAGAACUUCUUCAAAAGCAAGAUAUUGGUGAUGCACUCAUUAGAAGCAACUUUCCUGAGGCUUUGAAUAUUGUCCAAGCUACUGUAACUUCUGAGGAUUCUCACAGAGUAGCCAACGGGGAGAAACUAAUUUCAAUGCCAUCAACUAGAAAUACUAUGCCUAUGGAUGAAGUUCUCUUGAAUAUAGUAAGAAAAUAUGGUGAAAAAAUAUUGUUGAAAGCAUCUGAUAGGAAGCCAAAAUCCUCCAAAAAGAAAGGGAAGAAACGCUCCUCCUUAGUUGCAGUUUGCAGGGAAAAACAAUUAGAUGGCAUAGGUGACUGGCAAGGGCCCCCACCAUGGGAUUUGUCCUUAGGUGGUGAUGGAUGGCCCAAGUUCCUAUGUGAUGUUAUGGUUGAAGGCUUGGCAAAACAUUUACGAUGUGUUGGGAUGGAUGCUGCAAUUCCAUAUUCAAAAAAGCCAGAACCCAGAGAAUUGAUAGAUCAGGCAUACAAAGAGCAGAGAGUGCUUUUGACACGCGAUGCCAAGCUAUUGAGACACCAAUACUUGAUAAAGAAUCAAAUAUACAGAGUGAAGAGUCUUCUUAAAAAUGAACAACUUCUUGAGUACAAUGGGACGUUGGAGGUCUACCUUUUCUGCCAAUUUGCUUUGGAAAGCUAAUCCAGGGAUGUUAUAGAGGUGAUUGAAAGUUUCCAAUUAAAAAUUACUGAGGAUAAACUGAUGUCAAGGUGCACUAAAUGCAAUGGGAGAUUUAUUCAAAAGCCACUAACAACGGAAGAGGCUGUUGAAGCUGCAAAGGGCUUUCAGAAAAUUCCUGACUGCUUGUUUAACAAAAAUUUAGAGUUCUGGCAGUGUAUGGAUUGCAACCAACUGUAUUGGGAGGGAACCCAAUACCAGAAUGCAGUUCAGAAGUUCAUUGACAUCUGCAAGUUGAAUGAGUAAAGUUUAAGUUGAUCGUUGAUUGAUGCUUCUGCCCACAGAAGCAGAAUAGGUAAUUUUGUACAACAUAUGUAUCAGAAAUUGUCUAUCUGUUCUACAUUUAUUUCUUGGUUCAAGCAUUACAAUUUAAUGACUGUAUUUUGUGAGGAAAGAAGAUAAAGAGAUAGAAGCCCUGAUACUCUGUUUUAUAUGUAUCUAUCAAUUAAUCUCAGAAGAUUCUAAAUUUCA